rnacentral:rRNA from 1 species
UCUAAAGCUAAAUAUAGGCUUGAGACCGAUAGCAAACAAGUACCAUGAGGGAAAGAUGAAAAGGACUUUGAAAAGAGAGUUAAAAGUGCUUGAAAUCGCUGAAAGGGAAGCGAAUGGAACCAGUCUUCUGGCUGAGAUUGUUGCGUGCUACUGUGAUGCCUGGCUGCUUCAACGCAAGUGUGGCAGUUAGAGUUGAUCAGCUGUGCGUGAUGUUUCUCAGCUUGUUAGUCAACCUUUGUUCGUGCUUGGGGAUAACUGCGGGUUCCAUGUUCUUCUCUGCGGAGUUGAGCUCGUGCCUGUAAGGACUCAGGUGUGUACAAUUGGUGACAAAAUGGUUCUCUUCGACCCGUCUUGAAACACGGACCAAGGAGUCUAGCACAUGUGCAAGUUCACAGGUGGCAAGCCUGCUUGCGCAAUGAAGGUGACUGCUGGGAUAUUUGCACCAGCAACCGACCAAUCAAUUGAGAGAAGUUUGAGUAUGAGCAUAUGUGUUAGG